UACGGAGGGUGCGAGCGUUGUCCGGAAUCACUGGGCGUAAAGGGCGCGUAGGCGGCGCGGUAAGCGUGCGGUGAAAGCCCGGGGCUCAACCCCGGGUCGGCCGUGCGGACUGCCGGGCUCGAGCACUGUAGAGGCGGGUGGAAUUCCGGGUGUAGCGGUGGAAUGCGUAGAGAUCCGGAAGAACACCGGUGGCGAAGGCGGCCCGCUGGGCAGUGGCUGACGCUGAGGCGCGACAGCGUGGGGAGCGAACCGG
rnacentral:rRNA from 1 species